rnacentral:snoRNA from 1 species
UUCCUCUCGUCUUGGCGCUUCCACUGGUGAAUGUGGUUGUGUAUGUUACGAGAGGGAGAGUAGUGCUUAUUAGCUUUCGGAUCUCCUUCGGUGUUUGUCUUGCAUCUCGACAAAUGUCAUCCUCUGGGUUCGAGACAAUC